UCACUAUGAAUCAAAAAUUCAAAACAGAGGACUUUUAUAUAUCAACAAAAACACUUGCAGAACAUGCACAUAUAUGGUAUACAUACAGCAAGAAAACAGUAAUCAAAUGGAAUGUCAAAGACGAGUAAUGCUGAAAGCAAAAUUAUGUUGUUUAAAAUAGAAAACAAUAUGACUAGAAUAUAUUUAAGGUAAGUAAUCCAAAUGUGUCUGGUCAGGGUAACAUCAGUGGGUUAUUUACAAUGCGGUAUGAUUUCAAUCCCACAAAUAUGAAACAAAACAUGAUAGACAUUAUGAAUUAACACUAUUUUGAUAAGGAAAUUGACUGAAAAUAUUUUACAUUUAACAGUCAGAUAAGAAAAUUGCCAAUGGAAUAAUUUUGGAAUGGAAGUUAAAAUUUAUAGUUUAUAGGUUCAAGAAUUAUACACAGACUUAAAGGCCAAAUGGUAUACUUUUAAUAGUUUAAAGAUUUUAUACUACAUGUAUUAUCUAUUCUGUAUAAUUUCAAGAUAGUUUCAUUUGGAUUUAAAACCUAAUUUCAAGAAUGAAGGGUACAGUAAUUUAAAAUUAAUUUAUAAAGAUAAAAAACAAUAUAAGGGAAUUAACUCUUACAAGAUGUGCAUCAUAUCCAUGAGAAUAUCAAAAGUGUUUUUUAAUAAACUUUACCAUUUUUUUCAGAUAAGAGAAUUAAGCAGACCAUAUUUGGGUCAAAGAUGCCCAUAACAAUGAAAUAUAAUAUAUUAAAUUAUCAUUCAUCAUUACUUUUCAAUUGAAUCAACAAACUUUAUUUAAUAACAAAAUUUUUUUUUUAUUUUCAGUACACAACACAUCCUGUCAGAAGAAUAAUUUUACUGGAGGAUUAAAAUUUUGAUACCUGGAAUCAGCAAUGUAUAUGAAAUUUGUUAUGAGAGAUAUAUUCAUGUACAGAAUGGUAACCGAGGUGCUUCAAGUGUUUAUUAGCAGACAUUUUUGUUGAAUUUAUGCAGAAUGGAAUAAAUGAAACUUAAGCUGACUAUGGGCUCAAUGUGUAGUAAAAAGAGGAUUUUGAAAUAUGCAAGACUCAUCAACAUUAAAAUGUGCAUAAGUGAAAUGUCACCAUAUUUAGUAAAAAAAA
rnacentral:lncRNA from 1 species